AAAUGUGGACAGUCCUUCUUGUCAAAACCUGAUCUCAACAGAUCUCAGAGGCUAAGCAGGGCUGGGCCUGGUCAGUACUUGGAUGGGAGACCACUGGGAAUAUCAGGUGCCACAGUGG
rnacentral:rRNA from 1 species